rnacentral:rRNA from 1 species
CGUGUUACAAUGGGGGGUACAGAGGGCCGCUACCACGCGAGUGGAUGCCAAUCCCCAAAACCUCUCUCAGUUCGGACUGGAGUCUGCAACCCGACUCCACGAAGCUGGAUUCGCUAGUAAUCGCGCAUCAGCCACGGCGCGGUGAAUACGUUCCCGGGCCUUGUACACACCGCCCGUCAAGCCAUGGGAGCCGGGGGUACCUGAAGUGCAUAACCGCGAGGAGCGCCCUAGGGUAAAACUGGUGACUGGGGCUAAGUCGUAACAAGGUAAC